rnacentral:rRNA from 1 species
ACUCAAAUGAAUUGACGGGGGCCCGCACAAGCGGAGGAGCAUGUGGUUUAAUUCGAUGAUACGCGAGGAACCUUACCUGGGCUUGAAAGUUAGUGACCGUCCCUGAAAGGGGACCUUCAGCAAUGACACGAAACUAGGUGCUGCAUGGCUGUCGUCAGCUCGUGCCGUGAGGUGUUGGGUUAAGUCCCGUAACGAGCGCAACCCCUAUCAUUAGUUGCCAACAGGUAAAGCUGGGGACUCUAAUGAGACUGCCCGCGCAAGCGGUGAGGAAGGUGGGGAUGACGUCAAGUCAUCACGGCCCUUACGUCCAGGGCUACACACGUGCUACAAUGGCAGAUACAGCAGGUUGCCACAUAGUAAUAUGGAGCUAAUCCCAAAAGUCUGUCUCAGUUCGGAUUGAGGUCUGCAACUCGGCCUCAUGAAGCUGGAUUCGCUAGUAAUCGAAAAUCAGCAAUGUUUCGGUGAAUACGUUCCCGGGCCUUGUACACACCGCCCGU